CACAUGCAGUCGAGCGGAUGAGAGGAGCUUGCUCCUUGAUUUAGCGGCGGACGGGUGAGUAAUGCCUAGGAAUCUGCCUGGUAGUGGGGGAUAACGUUCCGAAAGGAACGCUAAUACCGCAUACGUCCUACGGGAGAAAGCAGGGGACCUUCGGGCCUUGCGCUAUCAGAUGAGCCUAGGUCGGAUUAGCUAGUUGGUGAGGUAAAGGCUCACCAAGGCGACGAUCCGUAACUGGUCUGAGAGGAUGAUCAGUCACACUGGAACUGAGACACGGUCCAGACUCCUACGGGAGGCAGCAGUGGGGAAUAUUGGACAAUGGGCGAAAGCCUGAUCCAGCCAUGCCGCGUGUGUGAAGAAGGUCUUCGGAUUGUAAAGCACUUUAAGUUGGGAGGAAGGGCGUUUGGCUAAUAUCCAGGCGUUUUGACGUUACCGACAGAAUAAGCACCGGCUAACUUCGUGCCAGCAGCCGCGGUAAUACGAAGGGUGCAAGCGUUAAUCGGAAUUACUGGGCGUAAAGCGCGCGUAAGUGGUUCGCUAAGUUGGAUGUGAAAGCCCCGGGGUUAAAC
rnacentral:rRNA from 1 species